rnacentral:rRNA from 1 species
AGAAUCAACGCUGGCGGCGUGCCUAACACAUGCAAGUCGAACGAGAAAGGGGUAGCAAUACCCUGAGUAAAGUGGCGCACGGGUGAGUAACACGUGACUAACCUACCCUGGAGUGGGGGAUAACUGAGGGAAACCUUAGCUAAUACCGCAUAAUACCUACGGGUCAAAGGAGCAAUUCGCUUUGGGAGGGGUCGCGGCCGAUUAGUUAGUUGGCGGGGUAAUGGCCCACCAAGACGAUGAUCGGUAUCCGGCCUGAGAGGGCGCACGGACACACUGGAACUGAAACACGGUCCAGACUCCUACGGGAGGCAGCAGUGGGGAAUUUUGCGCAAUGGGGGAAACCCUGACGCAGCAACGCCGCGUGGAGGAUGGAGUACUUCGGUACGUAAACUCCUUUCGAUCGGGACGAUUAUGACGGUACCGAGAGAAGAAGCCCCGGCUAACUUCGCGCCAGCAGCCGC